rnacentral:lncRNA from 1 species
UCUCAGUAGCUGAUGUUUAUCUUGAAUUUUCCAUGGGUCAGAUACAGUGCUGAACAUGUCUCACAAGUGAUCAUGUUCAAUCCUCACCAUGGCCCCUUGAGCUCCAUCUCAUCAUUAUUGUAUUCCUGUUAUACAGAUGAGGGAAACGGAGGUAUAAGUAGUCAAGCAACUUGCCCAAGAUCACAGAGCUGGCGAGUGUGGGUCCCGCUUUCUUUGGUGCUGGGCUUUGAAAUCCCCAAGCUUUCCUGAACUUGAUGUUCUCAGGUUUUAAAUUCUAGGAUGUGAUGGCAGGGAGAUCCUGGGAUUUGGAGAGUCCUUGGAGACUUGAAGCUUGUGAGGCUUUUAGGUUGUCCAGGAAUUGGCGGCUGCAUCUCUUGACCUCAGCAGGCACUCUAUUCAACCACUGGUCAGCAUGGUAGACCAGCCCCCAGGGGCUUCUCCUGACAGGCCAUGGUGAAGACUUCCAGCUCCCAGCACCCUGCAAAGCCCAGGGUUCUAGUCGUCCAACAACCACUCCAGCCCUCUACAAGACUGGCUUCAGACCCUUCUGGAAAAGCCCAGAAUGGGCCUGAUGGCCUGGCUCAGACUCUGUCUACACAGCGUCCUCCUCUCCAGCCUCCUUAUUGGCUACUCAUGCCUCCCUUCACACCACCUACACUGCCCCCGUCGGCUCUGCUUUUUUCCCCAUCUUGCCUCCAAGUCCUCCCUCCGUCCCGCUGCACUAUCUAGCCUCGGCAUUGGCUCAUCC